rnacentral:pre_miRNA from 1 species
CAUGUACUCCCUCCGUUCGGAAUUACUUGUCUCGAAAAUGGAUGUAUCUAGAACUAAAAUACAUCUAGAUACAUCCAUUUCUGCGACAAGUAAUUCCGAACGGAGGGAGUAAUAG